GCUUUUGUCGCUAUUGGGGACUACAAUGGUCACGUUGGUCUUGGUGUCAAGUGCUCCAAGGAAGUUGCCACUGCCAUCCGAGGGGCCAUCAUCUUGGCCAAGCUCUCCAUUGUCCCUGUGCGGAGAGGCUACUGGGGGAACAAGAUUGGCAAGCCCCACACUGUUCCGUGCAAGGUGACAGGCCGCUGUGGCUCUGUGCUGGUGCGUCUCAUCCCUGCCCCCAGAGGCACUGGCAUUGUCUCUGCUCCUGUGCCCAAGAAGCUCCUGAUGAUGGCCAGCAUAGACGACUGCUAUACUUCAGCCAGGGGCUGCACUGCCACCCUGGGCAACUUUGCCAAGGCCACCUUCGAUGCCAUCUCCAAGACCUACAGCUACCUGACCCCUGACCUCUGGAAAGAGACUGUGUUCACCAAGUCUCCUUAUCAGGAAUUCACUGACCAUCUUGUGAAGACCCACACCAGAGUCUCUGUUCAGAGGACUCAGGCUCCAGCUGUGGCUACCACAUAAGGGUUUUUAUAAAAGAAAAAUAAAUGAA